rnacentral:rRNA from 1 species
GCCUACGGGGGGCAGCAGUGGGGAAUAUUGGACAAUGGGGGGAACCCUGAUCCAGCGACGCCGCGUGAGUGAAGAAGUAUUUCGGUAUGUAAAGCUCUAUCAGCAGGGAAGAAAAUGACGGUACCUGACUAAGAAGCCCCGGCUAACUACGUGCCAGCAGCCGCGGUAAUACGUAGGGGGCAAGCGUUAUCCGGAUUUACUGGGUGUAAAGGGAGCGUAGGCGGCCUGGCAAGCCUGAUGUGAAAUACCGGGGCCCAACCCCGGGGCUGCAUUGGGAACUGCCAGGCUGGAGUGCCGGAGAGGCA